rnacentral:rRNA from 1 species
UUCGGAUUGGAGUCUGCAACCCGACUCCAUGAAGCUGGAUUCGCUAGUAAUCGCGCAUCAGCCACGGCGCGGUGAAUACGUUCCCGGGCCUUGUACACACCGCCCGUCAAGCCAUGGGAGCCGGGGGUGCCUGAAGGCCGUGACCGCGAGGAGCGGCCUAGGGUAAAACUGGUGACUGGGGCUAAGUCGUAACAAGGUACC